GACGAACGCUGGCGGCGUGCUUAACACAUGCAAGUCGAACGGAAAGGCCCUGCUUUUGUGGGGUGCUCGAGUGGCGAACGGGUGAGUAACACGUGAGUAACCUGCCCUUGACUUUGGGAUAACUUCAGGAAACUGGGGCUAAUACCGGAUAGGAGCUCCUGCUGCAUGGUGGGGGUUGGAAAGUUUCGGCGGUUGGGGCUGGACUCGCGGCUUAUCCGCUUGUUGGUGGGGUAGUGGCUUACCAAGGCUUUGACGGAUAGCCGGCCUGAGAGGGUGACCGGCCACAUUGGGACUGAGAGACGGCCCAGACGCCUACGGGAGGCAGCAGUGGGGAAUAUUGCACAAUGGGCGGAAGCCUGAUGCAGCAACGCCGCGUGCGGGAUGACGGCCUUCGGGUUGUAAACCGCUUUCGCCUGUGACGAAGCGUGAGUGACGGUAAUGGGUAAAGAAGCACCGGCUAACUACGUG
rnacentral:rRNA from 1 species